rnacentral:sRNA from 1 species
UAAUUUGAAGUGCUAGUACCAAUCAACCUGUCUGUCUCACUUGGCUAUUAAUUUGAAGUGCUAGUACCAAUCAACCUGUCUCACUUGGCUAUAAAUUUAAGGUGCUAGUACCAAUCAACCUGUCUGUCUCACUUGGCUAUUAAUUUAAGGUGCUAGUACCAAUCAACCUGUCUCACUUGGCUAUAAAUUUAAGGUGCUAGUACCAAUCAACCUGUCUCACUUGGCUAUUAAUUUGAGGUGCUAGUACCAAUCAACCUGUCUGUCUCACUUGGCUAUUAAUUUAAGGUGCUAGUACCAAUCAACCUGUCUCACUUGGCUAUAAAUUUAAGGUGCUAGUACCAAUCAACCUGUCUCACUUGGCUAUUAAUUUGAGGUGCUAGUACCAAUCAACCUGUCUGUCUCACUUGGCUAUAAAUUUAAGGUGCUAGUACCAAUCAACCUGUCUGUCU